rnacentral:rRNA from 1 species
UACGUAGGGUGCGAGCGUUAAUCGGAAUUACUGGGCGUAAAGCGUGCGCAGGCGGUUAUUUAAGCCAGACGUGAAAGCCCCGGGCUUAACCUGGGAAUGGCGUUUGGGACUGGAUAGCUAGAGUUCGGCAGAGGGAGGUGGAAUUCCACGUGUAGCAGUGAAAUGCGUAGAUAUGUGGAGGAACACCGAUGGCGAAGGCAGCCUCCUGGGCCAGGACUGACGCUCAUGCACGAAAGCGUGGGGAGCAAAC